GACGAAGGUGGCGAGCGUUGUUCGGAAUCACUGGGCAUAAAGCGCACGUAGGCGGUGCCGUAAGUCGGAUGUGAAAUCCCUCGGCCUAACCGAGGAACUGCGUCCGAUACUGCGGUGCUUGAGGAUCAGAGGGGUGCAUGGAAUUUCCGGUGGAGCGGUGAAAUGCGUUGAUAUCCACAGGAACUCCGGUGGCGAAGGCGGCGUGCUGGACCCGAUCUGACGCUGAGGCGCGAAAGCCAGGGGAGCAAACGGG
rnacentral:rRNA from 1 species